rnacentral:tRNA from 6 species
GCGGGUGUAGUUCAAUGGUAGAACUCCAGCUUCCCAAGCUGGUAGCGCGGGUUCGAUUCCCGUCACCCGCUCCA